AACGAACGCUGGCGGCAGGCUUAACACAUGCAAGCCGAGCGCCCCGCAAGGGGAGCGGCAGACGGGUGAGUAACGCGUGGGAAUCUACCCAUCUCUACGGAAUAACGCAUGGAAACGUGUGCUAAUACCGUAUACGUCCUUCGGGAGAAAGAUUUAUCGGAGAUGGAUGAGCCCGCGUCGGAUUAGCUAGUUGGUGGGGUAAAGGCCUACCAAGGCGACGAUCCAUAGCUGGUCUGAGAGGAUGAUCAGCCACACUGGGACUGAGACACGGCCCAGACUCCUACGGGAGGCAGCAGUGUGGAAUAUUGGACAAUGGGCGCAAGCCUGAUCCAGCCAUGCCGCGUGAGUGAUGAAGGCCCUAGGGUUGUAAAGCUCUUUCACCGGUGAAGAUAAUGACGGUAACCGGAGAAGAAGCCCCGGCUAACUUCGUGCCAGCCGCCGCCGUAACAC
rnacentral:rRNA from 1 species